CACAAGUUCUGGACCUUAAAACACUAGUGGGUGGAACUUAAAAUCAGCCCUAUUUUCUUUGACCUUAAUUGUAGGGAAGAAUCUGUUGAAAUUACAACAGACAAAACAUUAUCAAUUUUUAUCUCUACUUCACAGUGUUUUGAAUAAUCACUUUUCCCUUUAUAAUCCACGUUUUAAGUGUGCAUCAACAUUUUAACACUUAUUGAGAAUAUGCCAUAUUCUAAAAUUUUUGUUAAAUGAAAUUCUUUAAAAAAUCGGUGUCAUGGUAAAGAACUCUAGUAUAUUCUAUAAAGUAUAAUGGCAUCUUGGGCUUAGAGACAUAGGACACUACAAAAUUGACUGCUCCAAAGUAAGGGAUAAAAACGUCUUUUC
rnacentral:lncRNA from 1 species